rnacentral:rRNA from 1 species
AUUGAACGCUGGCGGAAUGCUUUACACAUGCAAGUCGAACGGCAGCACGGACUUCGGUCUGGUGGCGAGUGGCGAACGGGUGAGUAAUGUAUCGGAACGUGCCCAGUCGUGGGGGAUAACGUAGUGAAAAUUACGCUAAUACCGCAUACGAUCUAUGGAUGAAAGCGGGGGAUCGCAAGACCUCGCGCGAUUGGAGCGGCCGAUAUAAGAUUAGGUAGUUGGGGGGGUAAAGGCCCACAAAGCCAACGAUCUGUAGCUGGUCCGAGAGGACGACCAGCCCAACUGGAAGGGAGACAGUGUCCAGACUCCUACGGGAUGCAGCAGUGGGGAAUUUUGGACAAUGGGCGAAAGCCUGAUCCAGCCAUUCCGCGUGCAGGAUGAAGGCCCUCGGGUUGUAAACUGCUUUUGUACAGAACGAAAAGGUUUCUACUAAUACUAGGAGCUCAUGACGGUACUGUAAGAAUAAGCACCGGCUAACUACGUGCCAGCAGCCGCCGUAA